rnacentral:rRNA from 1 species
AUACGGAGGAUCCUAGUGUUAUCCGGAUUUAUUGGGUUUAAAGGGAGCGUAGGCGGGAGGUCAAGUCAGCUGUGAAAUGUAUCUGCUUAACGGGUACACUGCAGUUGAAACUGGUUUUCUUGAGUGCGUCAGAGGCAGGCGGAAUUUGUUGUGUAACGGUGAAAUGCUUAGAUAUGACGAGGAACUCCUAUUGCGAAGGCAGCUUGCUGGGUCGUUACUGACGCUGAUGCUCGAAGGUGCGGGGAUCAAACAGGAUUAGAUACCCUGGUAGUCCGCACAGUAAACUAUGGAUACUCUCUGCCGGCGAUAUAUUGUCGGUGGCCAAGCGAAAGCGUUAAGUAUCCCACCUGGGGAGUACGUUCGCAAGAAUGAAACUCAAAGGAAUUGACGGGG